CAGCGGGCAAUGCGCGGGGCCCGCCGGGAGAUGGAGUCCCGAGCUCGCGCGAAGCCUGCUGGGAGCUGUAUGCUACCCGGACCAAGGGUGGAAUGUCACUCCUUGGGCGUUGGCCUCAAUUGUUUAUAGCGACGGUCAGAGUGGCAGAAAGAGGCUCUGUGCGUCGCUUCUGCGUGUCGGAUUGACCGGAGGCCUCAGGAUCAAUGGCCACGCCCAGUCCGCGCUCCCCACCAGGGGGCACCACUCCCGGCCUCCUCCGCUCUGUUGGACUUGAUCAGGAGAUUGGGACAAAAAUUCUUCAGUAACAAGAGACAUUUAGUAUUCGUAGUGCUUCCGUGACUCAAAAGCUUUGCUGCAUAUUGGGACAUAAAUACAGCUUCCUGCCCUUCUGAGAAGAUAGAGUCUAAUUGGAAAAACAAAAUAAUUACACAGGAAAGGAGGAGAGUGAGAUUCCCUAUGGAUAAUGUAAGACAGAGAUCAAACAUGCUGUAAAACAAGACAAAAACCAGGCAGGUGGAAUGGGGGUAAAGGGGAGGCAUCAUACAGAGGUAGCAAGAAGCAUAGGCCUCCCUGAAAGCAAGGGAGGAUGAGAUGAAGUCUGUAAUUAGAAGGGCGUGGGAAUACCAAGACUGUGGUGGUAAAGAAGAAACCUCACACUGUAUGCUUUUUAAAAAAGCCUUUCCCUGUCGCUAGUCUCUUGGAUCUUUGUACAUCCAACCAUGCCCUCUUGGCUAGCUAACAUCUGUUUCUAACCUGCUUCCUCUAGCCUGGCAUCCUGCUCCAGCCCACUCCCUUCUGCUACGGCCUUUGAAUUUAAAUCUCAUAUCACACCACAGCCUAAAAACCAGGAUAGCCAGGGAUAUAGCUCAAAAAAAAAAAAAUCUGGAAAACUAGGCUGGUCCUGAACAGUCCUCCUACUCACUCUGUGACAUCCAGGUGCUUCUAGAACUAGGAAUGACUAGGCCGGGGAUUUAGCUCAGUGGUUCUGGUGCCUGCCUCUCAAGCGCAAGGUCCCAAGUUCGAUCCCCGGUACCAAAAAGAAGAAAUAGGAAUGACUGCCCCUCGCCAAGCCUCAUGUCUCCUCCUGUAUUCUAGGCCUUGCUGGGCAUGGUGGUAUACACCUAUAAUACCAGCACUCAGGAGGCUGAAGCAGGAGGAUCACAAGUUCAAACCCAACCUUGGCAGUUUAAUGAGGGAGACUCUGUCUCAAAAUUUAAAAUAAAAAAGGGCUGAGGAUGUAGCUCAGUGCCAAGGCUCUAGGUUCAGUCCUCAGUACUGAAAAAGAAAGAGGAAAGAAAAAAAAAGCCAGGUGUCUUAGUUACUCCCCUCAUUGCUGUGACAAAAUACCCAAUACCCACAAUGUAAAGGAGGAGGGCCAGGGAUUUAGCUCAGUGGUUUCGAUGCCCGCUGCGCAAGCGCAAGGACCCCAGUUCGAUCCCUGGUACCAAAAAAAAAAAAAAGGGUAAUAAAGGAGGAGAGGGGUUUUUUUGGGGGGGGGGGUGUUUU
rnacentral:lncRNA from 1 species